CGCCUAACACAUGCAAGUCGAGCGGCAGCACGAAUAGUAGCAAUACUAUUUGGUGGCGAGCGGCGGACGGGUGAGGAACACGUAGGAAUCUGUCGUUUAGAGGGGGACAACCAAGGGAAACUUUGGCUAAUACCGCGUAAUCUCGAAAGAGGAAAGCUGCCCGCAAGGGUGGCGCUAAAUGAGGAGCCUGCGUCCGAUUAGCUAGUUGGUAGGGUAAAAGCCUACCAAGGCAAUGAUCGGUAACUGGUCUGAGAGGACGACCAGUCACACUGGGACUGAGACACGGCCCAGACUCCUACGGGAGGCAGCAGUGGGGAAUAUUGGACAAUGGGGGCAACCCUGAUCCAGCGAUGCCGCGUGGGUGAAGAAGGCCUUCGGGUUGUAAAGCCC
rnacentral:rRNA from 1 species